GUGGGGAAUUUUGGACAAUGGGGGCAACCCUGAUCCAGCAAUGCCGCGUGCAGGAAGAAGGCCUUCGGGUUGUAAACUGCUUUUGUACGGAACGAAAAGGCUCUGGUUAAUACCUGGGGCACAUGACGGUACCGUAAGAAUAAGCACCGGCUAACUACGUGCCAGCAGCCGCGGUAAUACGUAGGGUGCAAGCGUUAAUCGGAAUUACUGGGCGUAAAGCGUGCGCAGGCGGUGCUGUAAGACAGGCGUGAAAUCCCCGGGCUUAACCUGGGAAUGGCGCUUGUGACUGCAGUGCUGGAGUGUGGCAGAGGGGGAUGGAAUUCCGCGUGUAGCAGUGAAAUGCGUAGAUAUGCGGAGGAACACCGAUGGCGAAGGCAAUCCCCUGGGCCUGCACUGACGCUCAUGCACGAAAGCGUGGGGAGCAAACAGGAUUAGAUAUCCCAGUAGUCC
rnacentral:rRNA from 1 species